GAGACACCUUCGACACCUGUUGAGUUUUCAUACAUAUAUGCAGCAUGUGAUGCAGUUAUAUCGUAACAUUAUCUUCUUGUAAAUAUUUCCACGUUAAUCUCAAUAAUUAACAUUGCUGUGGGGUCUUAGCGGUAAUAUUUAUAUUAGUUUGGUUAAGUUCUGUAAUUUAUAACACUAUGGAUCAUAAGUUAUUCUCCAGAAUUAAUAACAUAGGGUUUCAGGCUCAGUGUGUGUUCUCGUCAGAUUAAGUAUAAUUUCACGUUACAUUUGCAGAUUUUAUUACCUUUUAUCUCAAUUAUUCUGGUCCAAUGAUGCCAUAAAUUAUUCUGUAUUGUCUUAUCAGCAAUAUCUAGACUUGUUGGGUUGCUUUCAUAACACCUAGUACAAUCCUUUUUACUGGAUUGUACAGAUUUUAUGGUUGUUUUAUAUCUGCUUGUAUCAUUUUGUGCUUCUUUUGCAUCUUGUUUUUGAUUAUUUUGUGUCUCUUUGUGGUCAUUUUGUGUCACAUUGUAGUAGCUUUGGCCCUCUUUGUAGUUAGUUUGAAUCUGUUUGUCAUUUUGUGUUUCUGUGGUAAUUUUCAUGUCUUUUCAAACACACAAGUAGAAGUACUAAUAGAGAAGUAUUAAAAUUUCCUCAACUUUAUGGUUGUUUUACAUCUUCUUGUAUCAUUUUGCGUCUCUGUGAGUGCUUUGUGUCUGUGAUUCUUUAGUGUCUCUAUGUGUUUGUCUUGUGUCUUUUUGGGGUGGUUUUGAGUCUCUUCAGGGUAGAUUUUUGUCUCUUUAUGGUCAUUUUGUCUUGUGUCUAUGUGAUUGUUUUGUGUCUCUGUAGUUGUUUUGUUUCUGUUGGUGGUUAUUUUGCAUCUCUUUGUGGUUGUUUUGUGUCUCUUUGUGGUUGUUUUGUGUCUGUUUGGGGUGAUUUUGUGUCUCUUUGUGGUCAUUUUGUGUUGCAUUGUAGUAGUUUUGGCCCUCUUUGUCAUUUUGUGUUUCUGUGGUAGUCUUCGUGUCUUUUCAAACACGAGUAGAAGUACUAAUAGAGAAGUAUUAAAACUGUACUGACCUCAUGGUUGAUUUACAUCAUCUUGUAUCAGUUUGCAUCUCUUUGUGAUUGUUUUGUGUUUGUGCUUGUUAGGGAUGCUCCGAUCCAUGUUUUUUCAAUUCCAAUCCGAUAUAUUAAUUUGGCUAUUUCCCGAUACUUUCCCAAUACUUAUGUAGACUACAUAGAAAAAAAUUAAGUUAAAAAAAUUGCAUUAUUUUUCAAUUAAAGUCAUUUAUUAAUUGCAUAAUAGGCUUGGGUUCAAUUAACAAGUGCAGUCAGUACAAAAAAAGGAAAAAGGCAACUCAUCAAAGAACAAAACAACAAUAACAAAUGCCUGGCAGUGCAAAGUGCAAAUGCUUAAGUUGCAACCUCCUUUUUUGACAGAAUAUUUAGUGCAAUAAGAGUAUACCUACAUAAAUAAAACAAUGUGCAUAGCUGCUUCAUAGAAUUAUGUUGAACACAAAAUAUAAUUUUGUAUCUCUGUUUUAGUGCAGCAGCAACCACUGUAAACAAUGAAAGGAAAACACAUCACUGACAUCAGUCACUGUCUUAUUACCUUGAAAUUAACAUGAGGUAUCUAGGUUAGAACAAAUAAAUCAGAGCCUGGCAGUGAAAAAAUGACAAAUACAAAAAGGUGGCAAUAAGAAAGUGCAUACUAGCUGCUGCUUAAAAUAAUAUGCAAAAACAUAAAUUAAACAUUGUAAGUCUAUUUUAAUGCAGCAGGAACAUGAGGAGCUGGAGCAAGUUAAACAACAACAAUGCAGCAGCAACCACUGUAAACAAGGACAGCCACAUCUCAUCGGGGCUUUUUUAAAGUUAACAUCAGGUAUAACAGGUUACCUUUUAACCCUCAGGUUAACACAGACGAGUCUCACUUAGGAGAACUUUGGCAGGUUUUUCUUGAGGAAAAUUAGCAUUUCUGCAUUCCCUGCAGUAAGGCGGUUUCUCUUUUCAUCGACUAUAUUGGAUGUGGUGCUAAACAGUCUCUCACUUUCAACUGAGGUGGAGGGGGCACUGAGAAAUUUUAAUGUAAUGGCUGCAAUUGCAGGAAAGCUAUCAUGUUUUUUUCCCAGAACUGGAAAGGGGACUCAGAACGAGGAAUUGUUGGCUCUUGAAAAUAUUUUUGCAGUUGAACUACAGUAACAUCAUCAGUCCUACUUCCUGUUCUAGGAUCACCACUCUCCUCCAGAAUGUCAUCAUACAGAGACAUGAAGCUGCUCCGGCUUGGAGUUGGAUCAGCUGCUUCCAUGCGAGGCACCUUGAGAAACAAGAUUAAAAUUACUUACUUAAACUGACAUGAAUGAUAGCCAAUUAGCCACACUGCUAGCAGCCGCUAUACUAUAGUGGCUACUGGUAUAUUCAUCAAAGGCUAUAGACUAUGUCGUCUAAGUAAGUAGUCAGUCACUAUACAGUGACUACGCUACAGUGAGUAUAGUAUAGUACACCAUAACAUUUACUCAGUGUACAGUCAUAUUUAAUGAAAUAAAUGAUCAACGUACAGUUGUACAGAUAGAUUCACAAGACUACAAUGUUUUUUUGCAAAGAACACAAACCUGAGACAGGGUUCAUUCAAUAUAAUCUUAUUUAUGAACAUGAAUUCACUUAGAGAUACCCCCUCCUUUUUUGCAGUAAACAGACAAUCGAGAAACUAAGAGUCAUAAUGUAUCACACCUUGUCAGCUGGCUCUGUUGUUGCUGAAGCUGUAUCCUCCUCAGAAGCCGCUGGCUGUGUAGCUGAAGCUGCUCCAUCAUUCAAUGUUAGCUCCACCUUCCUCAUCUCUCGCAGCAGGGCAUCCUUGGCAAGCUUGGCUGUGACAGCAUCUGUGAAGUAUCUAACACAAAAAUAAGAUAGAUUGUAAGAUAGGUUGAGCACAACUUUGGUGUACCAAAGCAUCAGACAGUGAUGUAUGAAAAUAAACAUGUUACUGCUGACUAAAUUGGUAGAAACAAUUGCCUCUCUCUCUCUCUCUUCCUCUCUCACACAGUUUUCACAUAUCAUAUUUAGGCUAUGGACAGUUCGAGGAAUCUAGUUUGUGCCAUAUUUCACAUUUAAAAACGGCCAACAACAACAUUUGAGUAUAAUUUUGAUAAAACAUUUUAUAAAUGUUGUCUUACCUGUCUUUGUAACGGGGGUCCACUAAAGUUGCUACAGCGUAGAGGGGUGUAUCUUUGGUGCUGCUGAACCUCCUGUUUAUGGCCUCCAUAAGGGUUCGCUUCAUGGUUUUAAUCCUGCUGUCAGUGCUGGUCUCCUGCUGGAGCAGUCGUUUCAGGACAGUGAUGGCUGGAAUUAUGUCCGCUGCUGUGGAGGUCGCAGAGCUGACGAGCUGCGUUAUCUCCUUAAAGGGUUCCAGUACUGUCAGUUUUUUCUAACACUCGUUGGCAGACAGUGUGGUAGGCAGGCCGACGUCCGCAUGAUAUGUGCACAGGGCUCGCUUGUGUUCAAGGAGGCUUUGAGUCAUGGACAACGAGCUGUUCCAUCCUGUCGGAACGUCUUGCUGGAGCCUGUUUGUUUGUUUUGUUGGUUGCAGUUCUUUCUGAAUGUCUUCAAACUUUGACUGCGCCACUUGUGAAUGCUUGAAAUGCGUCACUAUUCUCCUUCCAUUUGCGAGUGCAUUAAUCACGCUUUGUUGUGAGAGAACCCCUUCGUGAACCACUAGCUGCAGUGUAUGCGGCAGGCAGCCGAAACUAUUAACAGGCACUUCAUCCAUCGCCUUUUUCAAUUCAAUUCAAUUUUAUUUAUAUAGCGUCAAUUACAGUCAAAAUGUCUCAAGACGCUUUACAGAACCCAUAUGCCUGACCCCCAGAGCAAGCCCAAAGGCGACAGUGGCAAGGAAAACACCCUUUUAACAGGGAAGAAACCUCGAGCAGAGACCGGCUCUAUAUAGGGGGGACCCAUCUGCCUGUUGGCCGGGCGGGUUGAGAGGGACAGAGGAGGGCAAGGGGGAGGGAUGGGAGAAGAGGGAGGGGUGGGAAAGCAAGGAAAACACAACACACAUUUGGAUACAUGUAUGACAGGAUAUGUGACACAAAGUAUAAACUAACAUUGAAAACUGACUCAUAGUUUACUCUUAUGAUGUACGGCUCUGACAUUAAACAUACUACAUAUAUAGCUAGCAGUAAAAUUCAAACAGUAUGUAGAUUAGCAUAACAAGUAAUGCAAUAACGGUAUACAUAUUAAAUGUAAAGGUAGAUAGAGAAGGGCUCAGUGCAUCAAGAGAAGUCCCCCAGCAGCCUAUAGGCCUAUAGCAGCAUGACUAGGGGCAGAACGAAGGGACGUCCAAGAGGGAGUCAGCUGUGCAAAUGAAGACACAAGCCGAAUCCCUGUGGGUCACCCAGUCAGCCCUAACUAUAAGAUUUGUCAAAAAGGAACGUUUUAAGCCUGGUCUUAAAAAUAGAGAGGGUAUCUGCCUCCCGAACCCAAACUGGGAGCAGGUUCCACAGGAGAGAUGCCUGAUAACUGAAGGCUCUGCCUCCCAUUCUACUUUUAGAAAUUCUAGGAGCAACAAGUAAGCCUGCAGUUUGAGAGCGAAGAGUUCUACUAGGAUAAUAUGGUACUAUCAGAUCUUUAAGAUAUGAUGGAGAUUGGUUAUUAAGAGCUUUAUAUGUCAGAAGAAGGAUUUUAAAUUCUAUUCUGGAUUUAACAGGAAGCCAGUGAAGAGAAGCAAGGAUAGGGGAAAUAUGAUCUCUUUUGCUAACUCCUGUCAGUACUCUCGCAGCAGCGUUUUGGAUCAACUGUAGAUGUUUAAGAGAGCUAUUUGGACAACCCGAUAAUAAGUAACUGCAAUAGUCAAGCCUGGAAGUAACAAAAGCAUGAACUAAUUUUUCUGCAUCACUCUGAGACAGGAUGUUCCUGAUUUUUACAAUAUUUUGCAGGUGAAAAAAGGAAGUCCUACAGACUUGCUUUAUGUGUGAGUUAAAGGACAUGUCCUGGUCAAAAAUAACUCCAAGAUUCCUCACAGUAGUACUGGAGGCCAACAUGAUGCCAUCCAGAGUAACUAUUUGCUUUGAAAGCGAGUUUCUAAGAUGUUUGGGGCCAAAUACAAUGACUUCAGUUUUGUCUGAAUUUAGCAGUAGGAAGUUAAGUCAUCCAGGUUUUAAUGUCCUUAAGACAAUCUUGCAGUCUCGCUAACUGAUCAGUUUCAUCUGGCUUCAUAGAUGAAUACAAUUGUGUGUCAUCUGCAUCACAAUGGAAGUUAAUACAAUGCUUCCUAAAUAAUAUUGCCUGCAUGUAUAAUGUGAAAAGUAUCGGUCCUAAGACAGAACCCUGAGGAACUCUGAUUAACUUUAGUAUGCUCAGAAGAGUCAUUGUUGACAUGCACAAACUGGAACCUAUCUGAUAAGUAGGAUUUAAACCAGUCCAGUGCUGUCCCUUUAAUGCCAAUUGAAUGUUCUAGACGCUGUAAUAAAAUUUUGUGGUCGAUUAUGUCAAACGCUACACUAAGAUCUAACAAAACAAGUAUAGAGACUAGUCCAUUAUCUGAUGCUAUGAGAAGGUCAUUAGUAACUUUCACCAGAGCCGUUUCUGUGCUAUGAUGCACUCUAAAGCCUGACUGAAACACUUCAAACAAAUUAUUCCUUUGUAAGUGUUCACAUAAUUGAUUUGCAACAAUUCUUUCCAGAAUUUUGGAGAGAAAUGGUAAGUUGGAUAUUGGUCUAUAGUUAGCUAACACAUCUGGAUCUAAAGUGGGCUUUUUAAGCAAGGGUUUGAUGACAGCAACCUUAAAAGCCUGUGGUACAUAGCCUGUUACUAGAGAGAGAUUAAUCAGAUCUAACAUUGAAGAAUUAAUUAAAGGUAAAAUCUCCUUGAAGAGUCUAGUUGGGAUAGGAUCUAAAAGACAUGUUGAUGGUUUGGAUGAAGAAACUGUUGAAAUUAGUUCAGAGAGACAUAUGGGAGUAGGGAUGUAACGAUUACCGGUUAAAAUGAUAAACUACGGUAAAAUGUCUGACGGUUAGUACUACUGUUUCAAAUUUUAAUUACCGUUAAACCGUGUUUGAUUGCCACAAUCCGGAAAAUCUCAGGAAUAGGCCUACUACUGUUGUGAGAAGUGCAGCAGCAGGCUGCCGAGCGGACACAUGCGCCCCGCGCGCAUGCGCCCUGCACAGUAAACAACUCGUACAUAUGGUGGAGGGCAGUACUACCGGCAGUGGAGAGAUUUUUCCACCGUCCAAACGUACCAAGUCCGAAGUCUGGGCGUACUUCGGAUUUUAUAAAGACGCGCAAGGGAGACUGGUGGAAGAAAGCAGCCCAGUCUGCCAAAAAUGCCACAAGAAAAUGUCGGCAAAGAGUGGAAACACGUCCAACAUGCUGGCUCAUCUACGGGACCACCACCCGCAACUGUGCAGCGAGUAAAAGAGAGGGCAUGUAGUGGACAGAACCAGGACAAAUCCUCCAACAGCUUCUACUUCUUCGGUCACAGUGGCACAAACAAUAACCCAGGCGUUUGAAAGGAAGGCUGCUUACGCACCGACAUCGAAACAUGCCAAAGACCUCACAGCAGCUAUCUCAUAUUUUAUUGCGAAAGACAUGAUGCCAUUUCAAACUGUUGAGAGGCCUGGAUUUUUGAAGCUGAUGAAGGUUGCUGUGCCUCACUAUAAAGUUCCUUCAUGAAAUCAUUUUUCCAAGACUGAAAUCCUGCUGCACUAUACAUUUGUUUACAUGUGGUUGUAUUGUUCUUACAUCCACUUUACUUUGUUUUAUAUAGUAGUGCUAUUGUAUUAUUUUAUAUUUGUAAGACUAGAUCUUUCCGAGCACUGAAUGUGAAGAUUCUUACAAUUUGCACAAUAUAAAGAAUGUCAUUUUAUUUAUUUUUUAAUGUUUAUGAGGCAGUGGCACCUUACUUUUUUUGUUGUACUUUGUUAUUCCUAAUGUUACUUUCAAGCAAACGGACUACCUCUUGGCUCUUUUAAGGUCCCCUCUUUAAUUUUUUAAGCUUAUUAAUAUGUUAUUUAAGGUUUAAGUUCAUAUUUUGUUUGGUUUUUCUCAAAUAAAAAAGUUGUUCAUUGA